CACGUAGGGUGCGAGCGUUGUCCGGAUUCAUUGGGCGUAAAGAGCGUGUAGGCGGCCAGGUAGGUCGGUUGUGAAAACUGGAGGCUCAACCUUCAGAGGUCGACCGAAACCAUCUGGCUAGAGUCCGGGAGAGGAGAGUGGAAUUCCUGGUGUAGCGGUGAAAUGCGCAGAUAUCAGGAAGAACACCCGUGGCGAAAGCGGCUCUCUGGAACGGUACUGACGCUGAGACGCGAAAGCGUGGGGAGCGAACAGG
rnacentral:rRNA from 1 species